rnacentral:rRNA from 1 species
UAGGGAAUCUUGCGCAAUGGGCGAAAGCCUGACGCAGCCAUGCCGCGUGAAUGAUGAAGGUCUUAGGAUUGUAAAAUUCUUUCACCGGGGAAGAUAAUGACGGUACCCGGAGAAGAAGCCCCGGCUGAACUUCAGUUGCCAGCCAGCCGCGGGUAAUACGAAGGGGCGUAGCGUUGCUCGGAAUUACUGGGCGUAAAGGGCGCGUAGGCGGAUAGUUUAGUCAGAGGUGAAAGCCCAGGGCUCAACCUUGGAACUGCCUUUGAUACUGGCUAUCUUGAGUUCGGGAGAGGUGAGUGGAAUGCCGAGUGUAGAGGUGAAAUUCGUAGAUAUUCGGCGGAACACCAGUGGCGAAGGCGACUCACUGGCCCGAUUACUGACGCUGAGGCGCGAAAGCGUGGGGAGCAAAACA